AAAAAAGUGAGAGGUCGGGGAAACAUGUGCAGCAUCUCGAGCCAUUUUGGAAGUGAAGUUGGACAUGUAACGAGCAUUUUUGGCUACAACACUGAUGUACAACCCUAUCAAUUGGAGCUUCCUUAACAAAGACAAAUAUAUGUUGUAAAAAGCUAGAAAAAGCCGUUGGCCAUCGAGCAGUGGUCAAGUUAUUCUGUAGGGCCACCUCAAAAGCUAUGAAGGCCAACCUCAAAGCUAGCCUGAAGCAUUCGCCGGACCAAUUCGUUCUCUAUGUCGGCUCCAAUAACCUUAAAUAUAAAAAGAGUUGCAAGAUGCUGAAUCGAUCAUAGACAAAUCGAAAAUUCAUCCGACUCCACCUCCGCCAUAUCGAGGCUUACUUCCACAAGGGAUGAAUUCAAUAGAGCAGUGAAAGAUGCGAAUAAACAUCUAAAGAGCUACUGCCGUCAGAAUGGAUGGAACCUAAUCCAGCAUCUAAUGAUCACAGAAAUUGGCCUAAUCAAGGGAGGACUGCAUCUUAGUUAUAAAGAGUGAGGGAGCAAUGACUGAAAAAGUGCAAUUUUCAUAGGAGUCAAGAUUAUCCUCAGAGACCUAACAAUUCCUUGUUGGUGGGGUGGAGUGGAGUGUCCAAGGCAUGUUAUUAAUUAAGGAGUCUGCAUCAACAACUUUAUUCACAGGGGGUGUUUCUCUAGUUUGCCUUUCUUUUCUUUCUAUAAUGGUUUAGGACUUUUUACUGGUCAUCUCAGAGGACAAUCACUACCUCAAGAGAAAA